GUUAAAGCUCACUGAUUGCAACCAACACACCAUCACGAGGUCUAGCAUUGAUCAGUUUGCGAGGAAAACGUUGGGAAAAUUAGCACGAACAAUUUAAGAUGAAUACAUCGCUACUGUUAUCGUUCUUGUUGAUAUUUUAUCCUUUGGUUUGUGAUUCAGCAACAUCGAAAGAAAUUAAAUUGGAAAAACACUCAAAGGCAUACUUGACAAAAUUUACACACUUGGUAUCGAGGUGGGAAAGGGUGAAGAAAUUGUGAAAUUCUAUACAGAGAACUGUGUAUUGAUUAAUUAAGGUGUUCCGGCAAUAAAUGGCAAAGCAGAGUUGUUACAUCUCUACAAAACCGUUUUUAAUAGAACAACAAUUAUUAAAAAGGUUAACGUUUUUAUGGACGACGUAUAUGACAUGGGAGACAUUGUUACUCUUAGAUACCACGCGACCAACCAUUUAGCAGAUUGCAGUGUCCUUAC